rnacentral:lncRNA from 1 species
AUGACAACUGCCCUUGGAAACCACAGGGUCAGCACAGAUCCAAGAAGAAUUGUUGACUUUUCAGUCCGUUCAGCUUUUCAUAUAUUGUUAAGAUGGAAUGCCAACUGCCAAGCUUCUUAUAUUCGGAACUGGAAACCAGAAUCUUUUUUUUUUUUUUUUUUUUUGCACAAUCUGAAACUUCAAAAAAGGUUUAUAUACAAAUGUAUAAGUAAAAUGAGUAGCAGCUGUAAGCUUGGGCUCUGGAGACAGACUACCUGCGCUUAUAUUUUGGCUCUGCCAUUUAUAAGAGUUAUUUCAUGUCUCUAAGCCUAAGCUCUUUUUUAUCUGUAAAAUAGGGAUGGUAGCUCUAUCAUAGUUCAGGGUAAGGAUUAAGUAAGAUAACAUAUGUAAAGAGUGUCUAGUACAUAAUAAGAACAUGCACUUUUUUAUGAAAAAAUUAUUUGAAUGUUUUAUAAUCUUUCAGGUUUUAUCUUGGAUGUCAGAGAUGCAGAAGUAGAAAUUGGACUCUGGCCUCAUAGAGCUAAUGUUCUACAGGCAGGAGAGAAACUAGAAACAUGUAAACCAGUGAACAUUUUCUGAUAGUAACAGUGGUAUGAAGGAAGCAAAUCAGUUAUGUGAUAGACAGGAAUGGAGGAGGGUUUUAGAUUGGGUAGUCCAAAAAGACUUUUCAGAGGAAGGGGCACUUGUACUGAGAGCUGACCUGUUGGGAGCCAGCCAAGCAAAAAUCUUUCUAGAAAAACAACAGGGGUACAUCAAGAGCACAGGUGUAAAGACAGAAGCAGGUCUGACUUGAUCAUGAUUGGAAGAGAAGUUGAUGUGGCUGGUCAUGGAGAAUAUGGGAGAAAAAUAGCAUCUGUAUUGCUUUAAAUGAUACCAAGAACUCUGGACCUUUAUUAUUAUUAUUAUUAUUAUUAUUUGGAGGGCAAGAGGAAAAUGGUUUUAGAAGGAUUCUAGCAAUGAUCCACUGGUGUGGAGAAGAAGGGAGAUGCAAUUAUCAGAGUCCUGGGAUUCUGGGGGAAGUGACCAGCCCAUCUUGAAUGGGUUUUCCAGGCCGGGGUGGUAAUUGCUGCUCUCCCACUUCUCUCCUUCCACACACACCACAAACAAAGGGCAGUGGGGUUAAGGUAGACAUGAAUGAACAACUCAGAGGACAAAGAGAUAUGAAUUAAAAACUCAGAAGAAAAGGUUCAUACUUGAAUUUUACUAAUACUGUGGUUCCCUGCUCCCAAAUGUUCUCAUUCUUGCUGAAGCCUACACUCAUUUCUCUCAGUUGACAUGCUAGUCUAAAAACUUUCUUUUGUAUAUUCUUUCUCCACCUCCCUGUCUUUGGAGGGCAGAGACAAAUCCCUUGGGUAUGACUAAAUGUCUAGAAAAAUGCUCAGCAAACACUGCAUGCUAUUACUUUAACUUGUAAAAACUCAAUUAUUUACCCUACCAUAAUUAAGUCCUUUUCCGGACGCAAAACUCUCCCCACAUGCUGAGUGAAUAUAAAUUUUCAUUGGUGUUCAUUUGACCUUGCCAAACUAGCCUGAAAAUUGUGUCCCCUUUUGCCAAGAAUAAUUUUUUUAGUUCUCUUCUCAAUAACUGUAGUUGAAAGGAGAGAGUGAUAUCUCUGUAACUCAAACCAGAUCCUUUGCAAUAACAUGUUGGCAAGUGACAAUGUGAUGAAACUGUUUUAAGCGUGCAUGUUUUUGUUCCCUAUCUUAAUGUUUCUGAAUGCAGAACCAACCUGUUUAUUAUUCUUCUGCUACACAAUGGAAAAGGUAGGUAAGAGGAUUGCUGACCUCUCUGUAGCUUCAAGAAAGUUUCUUAACAAGAAUGCUUGCUCCUAACAGCAUCUCUGGAAAUGUCUAGAAAUAGUAUCCACUCUCAACCAUCUCUAUUUCCUAAAUGGAAAGCAUUUCCUUGACUAAUCUAAGCCCAGUCGAGGGUACCCUAUGGCGUCAAUCCAAACAUUUAGUGAUUGUUUGCCUACAGGGAUUUAUUCAGAUACUAUCUUCCUUUUUUCUCAAUUUCUUGGCUUUUGAGGCAUUUCAUUAUUUUUAGUAACUCUGGCAGAGGGUAAGCAAGAGGUGUUGGAAGAACAUUCAGACUGCCGUUAACUCCUCAUUAGCAGGUAUGGGAAAAGCAAGUGUAGGUAGGUGGUAGAAAGGACUGAAAUUGUGAGGUUCAAGAAUUCUCUAUAAUAGGUUUUCAUUAAUCCCACCUUAGCUUGUUCUUUCAUGGAUAAUCGAGAAUUGACUCUAAAUGAGAAACCCAUCUCAAUUAUCUUACUUCCUCAAAUCUUCAAUGGAGACUAGAAGAGGGCUGUGUGAAGGCACAGUGGGCGCACAUCUGUGCAUGUGCUUGUGCAUGAGUGUGCACAUACCCGUGGGAAUUUCGGCUGUCUUUAGUGCAGGUGUGAAUGGAUUCGUCUGAAUUCUUUUCCCCAACCUACAGCAAUGGAUCCAGUUCUGGUCAUUAACAAGAAUGUGGUUUAUUUCCCAAUACUCAUGCCUAGGCAUAAGGAUUCCAAAGUCUGAGAAUGGUAGAUAAAAAGUAGAAAAACUGAUGCAUUUUCCAGGGGAGAAAUCAUUCCACAGAAACAGAUACAGAAAUAACAGAUAAGGAAGUAAAUAGAAGGACUUCAACACACUGAUUCUAACUAUGGUCAAGGGUGUAACAAAAACCUGAAAAUAAUGAGAGAAGAAAUGGAAGACAUAAUUUUCUAGAGAUGAAAAGCACAUAUCUGUAUUUUUAAGUUCACUGGAUGGGAUUAACAGCAGGUUAUACAGUGCAGAUGAAAAAAGAUCAGUGAGCAUUAUGACACUGCAAUAAAAAUUAUAAAAAAUAAAGCACAGAGAGAUUAAAAACUAAACGAAUACACACAACCUAUCCUGAGUUUACAGGAUAAACUCAAAGCGUUUAAUAUCAUUGUAACUGGAGUAUCAGAAAGGGAGAAAGCAGAAAAACAAUUCAAAAUUAUAAUGGCUGAACAUUUUUUCCAAAUUUUAUGGAAAUGAAAUCCAUAGAUCCAAGAAAGUUAAUACACUAAACCAGUAUAAAUACAAAGGAAAUUCAGAAUUCCAAGAAAUCUCAUAAUUCCAAAGUCUUUGGAACUUCCUUAGUGUGUACUCAGUUUGUACUCAUUUGUUUCCACUCCAGGGAACCAGAAUUCUUGAAUUCAAAGACUCUCAUGUUCUAGAGCUUAUCAAGUUAUCAGCCCACCUCUCGAGUUUUCUGUCUUGGUUUUAAGGGAUCAAGCAAAUUACCUAAGAUAUCAAAUCUUGGGACAACAGAUACCAUGAAGAACCUGAAGUGGGUAGUGGGUCUAGGUGGCUAAGUCCUUUCCCUGCUGCUGAGAGUGUCUUGGUGCCCAUCACAGUUGUGAACUGUGACAAGCACGUUUGCAGAGCAAUGAGAAAAUAUAACUAACCACCUAGUGCUUGUUAAGAGAUACUGCAUACGGAAGCAUCUCAAGAGAACCUUGAGGAAGAGGGUAGGUAGAGAAAGCUACAUCCAUCAGAGAGAUUAUAGCUUUGGAGGUCUGAGUGAGGCCUUGAGAAUUGGAAGAAGAGCCCAGAAAACAGUGUUUCUUUACCUGUAACAGCAUUAAGCAUGCUGAAAUGUCCACGUGGGAAUUAUAUUGUAUGCUGUUUUAAUUAAGGCAAAUUCUAUUCUACCUUGGAAUUGUAACUAAUUCUGUUUGAACUUUGAAAAAUUCUGGUUUAAAAAAAAAUCCUUUGUUUCAGCAGCUGAGAUGUCAAGCAAAAGGGAUUGGAUAAUAAUCCCAUGUGUUUCUAAUUGGAUGAAUUGUUUGCUUGUAAAGUUAUUUCCUAAGAUUUCUUUUUUUCAAUUAACAUAUUAGAUAGAUCCUUGAGGAGUACUUUGGAUAAAUGCCCAAGUUGCUCUUUGGUUAAGUGGAAUAGCACAAAGUCUUGUGUUCUGGGAACCCAGCCCUCAGAUUACUGAGCAGGUCAAACCUCACCUUAAUUAUUUCUUUUAAAAAUCAAAAGGCUUUUUAUGAUUAUUUGAGAGGGUUGCUCUUGUUGUUUUUCAUUCUCUGUAUGAUUACCAUUUUGGUUAUGGCACCUAAUUUUUGAGGAAAAAUAAAAGAAAAAAACCCUACUAUCAACCAUACUUGUGAGGCUAUUAAUUACGAUUUUGCUUUGUUCUGAAAUUUCUCCUUCAGGCAGAUUUCCAGACAUCCAGGUAGAAGCAAAAUGAAACACGUACACUAUGAGCAUGUGGCUUAUUGUGACAAACAGAAUGUCAGGGACUCAGAGAAG